rnacentral:misc_RNA from 1 species
UUGAGACUCAUACUCAAUAUUAAGUUAUACUGCGUCCAUGUAAAUUCAUUGAUGUUUCCCUGGUGUUGGCGCAAUAUUAGCGCACCCCAAUCUAACG